AACGAACGCUGGCGGCAUGCCUAACACAUGCAAGUCGAACGAGACCUUCGGGUCUAGUGGCGCACGGGUGCGUAACGCGUGGGAACCUGCCCUUAGGUUCGGAAUAACUCCCCGAAAGGGGUGCUAAUACCGGAUAAUGUCUUCGGACCAAAGAUUUAUCGCCUUUGGAUGGGCCCGCGUUGGAUUAGCUAGUUGGUAGGGUAAAAGCCUACCAAGGCGACGAUCCAUAGCUGGUCUGAGAGGAUGAUCAGCCACACUGGGACUGAGACACGGCCCAGACACAGAGGGGAGGAGGCAGGGGAGAACACGAGGAAGGGGGCGAAACCCAGAUCCGCCAAGGCGGCGUGAGUGAGAAGGGCCGGGGGGUUGUACAGCUUAUUCCGCGUGAAUAAUAAUCACGAGACCGGGAAAACAAGCCCCGGCCAACUCAGGUCAGGCAGCCGCGGUAAUGGUCGAAACCCACACGUUCGAUC
rnacentral:rRNA from 1 species